GGAAACGUAGCUCAGCUGGGAGAGCAUUCGGGUCACAUCCGAAAGGUCGCAGGUUCGAACCCUGUCGUUUCCA
rnacentral:tRNA from 1 species